AUGAUCGCUUCAGCAGCACAUAAACUAAAAUUGGAACUAUACAGAGAUUAGCAAGGCCCCUGUGCGAGGAUGACACCCAAAUUCGUGAAGCAUUCCACGUUUUC
ensembl:snRNA RNU6-173P RNA, U6 small nuclear 173, pseudogene